rnacentral:rRNA from 1 species
GAUGAACGCUGGCGGCGUGCCUAAUACAUGCAAGUCGAGCGAACGGACGAUAAGCUUGCUUCUCUGAUGUUAGCGGCGGACGGGUGAGUAACACGUGUAUAACCUACCUAUAAGACUGGUAUAACUUGGGGAAACCGGAGCUAAUACCGGAUGAUAUUUUGAACCGCAUGGUUCAAAAGUGAAAGACGGUCGUGCGGUCACUUAUAGAUGGAUCCGCGCUGCAUUAGCUAGUUGGUAAGGUAACGGCUUACCAAGGCAACGAUGCAUAGCCGACCUGAGAGAGUGAUAGGCCACACUGGAACUGAGACGCCGUCCAGACUCCUACGGGAGGCAGCAGUAGCGAAUCUUCCGCAAAGGGCGAAAGCAUGACGGAGCGACGCCGCGUGAGUGAUGAAGGUCUUCGGAUCGUAAAACUCUGUUAUUAGGGAAGAACAUAUGUGUAAGUAACUGUGCACAUCUUGACGGUAACUAGUCAGAAAGCCACGGCUAACUACGUG